rnacentral:rRNA from 1 species
CCUGGCGGCAAUAGCGGGCGGGUACCACCUGAUUCCAUUCCGAACUCAGAAGUGAAAACGCCCAGCGCCGAUGAUAGUGCGGGGUCUCCCCGUGUGAAAGUAGGACACUGCCAGGC